rnacentral:rRNA from 1 species
UGCGUAGGCGGUUACCCAAGUCAGGUGUGAAAUCUCUCGGCUCAACCGGGAAACUGCGCUUGAAACUGGGUGACUGGAGUGAGGCAGGGGUGUGUGGAACUUCCGGUGGAGCGGUGAAAUGUGUAGAUAUCGGAAGGAACGCCGGCAGCGAAAGCGGCACACUGGGCCUUUUCUGACGCUGAGGCACGAAAGCUAGGGGAGUGAACGGGAUUAGAUACCCCGGUAAUCCUAGCCGUAAACACUGAACACUGGAGGAGGGAGGCUUCGGCCUUCUUUCUCGUAGCGAAAGCGUUAAGUGUUCCGCCUGGGGAGUAUGGUCGCAAGGCUGAA